GAUGAAGAACGUAGCGAAAUGCGAUAAGUAAUGUGAAUUGCAGAAUUCAGUGAAUCAUCGAAUCUUUGAACGCACAUUGCGCCCGCUAGUAUUCUGGCGGGCAUGCCUGUCCGAGCGUCAUUUCAACCCUCAAGCCCCCGGGCUUGGUGUUGGGGAUCGGCGAGCCUCCGCGCCCGCCGUCCCCUAAAUCUAGUGGCGGUCUCGCUGUAGCUUCCUCUGCGUAGUAGCACACCUCGCACUGGGAAACAGCGCGGCCACGCCCUUAAACCCCCAACUUCUGAACGUUUGACCUCGGAUCAGGUAGGAAUACCCGCUGAACUUAAGCAUAUCAAUAAGCGGAGGA
rnacentral:misc_RNA from 1 species